rnacentral:rRNA from 1 species
GACGAACGAUGGCGGCAGGCCUAACACAUGCAAGUCGAACGAGUGGCGGACGGGUGAGUAAUUUCUGGGAAACUGCCUGAUGGAGGGGGAUAACUACGGGAAACGGUAGCUAAUACCGCAUCACCUCAGAUGUGCCCAGAUGUGAUUAGAUUGUUGGGGGGGUAACGGCUCACCAAGGCGACGAUCCCUGGCUGGUCUGAGAGGAUGACCAUCCACACUGGAACUGAGACACGGUCCAGACUCCUACGGGAGGCAGCAGUGGGGAAUAUUGCACAAUGGGCGCAAGCCGGAUGCAGCCAUGCCGCGUGUAUGAAGAAGGCCUUCGGGUUGUAAAGUACUUUCAGUGGGGAGGCGUUACCCGCAGAAGAAGCACCGGCUAACUCCGUGCCAGCAGCCGCGGUAAUAC